rnacentral:rRNA from 1 species
AUUGAACGCUGGCGGCAUGCUUUACACAUGCAAGUCGAACGGUAACAGGCCGCAAGGUGCUGACGAGUGGCGAACGGGUGAGUAAUGCAUCGGAACGUGCCCAGUCGUGGGGGAUAACGCAGCGAAAGCUGUGCUAAUACCGCAUACGAUCUAUGGAGGAAAGCGGGGGACCGUAAGGCCUCGCGCGAUUGGAGCGGCCGAUGUCAGAUUAGGUAGUUGGUGGGGUAAAGGCCGACCAAGCCGACGAUCUGUAGCUGGUCUGAGAGGACGACCAGCCACACUGGGACUGAGACACGGCCCAGACUCCUACGGGAGGCAGCAGUGGGGAAUUUUGGACAAUGGGCGCAAGCCUGAUCCAGCAAUGCCGCGUGCAGGAAGAAGGCCUUCGGGUUGUAAACUGCUUUUGUACGGAACGAAACGGUCUGGGUUAAUACCCUGGGCUAAUGACGGUACCGUAAGAAUAAGCACCGGCUAACUACGUGCCAGCCGCCGCCGUAACAC